UGCUUGGGUACUGCCAUGGAUAGCGCAUGUGUUGGCUUUGUCCAGCUUUGGGCUUUUUCCCACAUUGAUUUUAAAAAGACAGGAGCCACAGAUUUUGGAGUACUGCAAAAUGACUUUCCAAAUUGAUGAACCAUGGACUCCAAGCUGGAUAGACACAGAAAUGAAAAGAAGGGACUAAUAGGGAAUAAGACGUGUGAUCCAUGGCCCGAUGGCCCUGAUGGACGUGAAGAUCCACUGUUGUGGGAGGAGUGGAACACUAACACUGAAUGAUGGAGGCUGUGGUCAGAAACAGGGAUUAGCAACCCACUCUCCACCAAAUUUCAAGUCACUAGGGGCAUUAUGCUAUGUCCCAGGAGUGGCCAAGGCUUCAAGGACCAAUGAUAGACCUGCUGCUCUAACCUAGGCCUGCUGAGGAGUACAAUUCAACCUGUGUUUCUGUGUGGUUCAGCAAUCUUGCUGAGCUCCUCUAAGUCAGUCCAUCCUGCCACAGCUGGGAAGAAUCAAGAAACUCUCCAAGAAGACGUUUAUUGGUUGAUAAAAAUCUGUUUAUCUGCCUGUUGCCAAUGAGAAGACAGGUCUGCUGACCAUGGCAGGCAUGGCAGCACGUGACACCGUGUUUGCUGCUCACUGCAUGUUCCACCUGAACUUUCCCGUCCGGUCAAUGAGUCUUGACAGUGGGGUGAAGGGGACUCACUCUCAAAGACCAAGGCUGACCCGCUUUGAGUACAAUGCCUUGACCUAGUUACUGUCACUGUGGUUUUGUCUUCAGGAACUAAAAGGUACAAUAAAAACUUGUUCAUUU
rnacentral:lncRNA from 1 species